rnacentral:rRNA from 1 species
AAACCGUUCGGGGGUAAACGGACAGAGCCCGUGAAUCCGGGCGACGGAAUUCAGAAUCGACGGCGUUCGCGCGUCGUCGGUUUGAUAUUUCCGUCGCCGUGACAAUGUACGGACGUCGCGACCCGUUCGGUGUCGGUCCGAGGAGACGUGUAAAAGUUCGCCGACGUUGCGUUCAUUCGUGGGCGCGCGUCGACGAGUGCGCGUUCUUUUUUUUUCUGGCCGACUCGCCGGACGGUACGCGUAACGGUGGCCGCGGCGACCUUUCGAGCGUCGUCGUCGGUACCGGUCUGCGACGAAUCUUCGGGCCUCUUUCCGA